UCUCGGGUGACGAGUGGCGGACGGGUGAGUAAUGUCUGGGAAACUGCCUGAUGGAGGGGGAUAACUACUGGAAACGGUAGCUAAUACCGCAUAACGUCGCAAGACCAAAGAGGGGGACCUUCGGGCCUCUUGCCAUCAGAUGUGCCCAGAUGGGAUUAGCUAGUAGGUGGGGUAACGGCUCACCUAGGCGACGAUCCCUAGCUGGUCUGAGAGGAUGACCAGCCACACUGGAACUGAGACACGGUCCAGACUCCUACGGGAGGCAGC
rnacentral:rRNA from 1 species